UACGUAGGGCGCAAGCGUUAUCCGGAAUUAUUGGGCGUAAAGAGCUUGUAGGCGGUUUGUCGCGUCUGCUGUGAAAAUCCGGGGCUCAACCCCGGACUUGCAGUGGGUACGGGCAGACUAGAGUGUGGUAGGGGAGACUGGAAUUCCUGGUGUAGCGGUGGAAUGCGCAGAUAUCAGGAGGAACACCGAUGGCGAAGGCAGGUCUCUGGGCAUGUCCUGACGCUGAGGAGCGAAAGUGUGGGGAGCGAACAGG
rnacentral:rRNA from 1 species